rnacentral:rRNA from 1 species
UGAGUAACACGCUGGGGAACCUGCCCCUAAGUCUGGGAUACCAUUUGGAAAUAGGUGCUAAUACCGGAUAAUAAAGCAGAUCGCAUGAUCAGCUUUUGAAAGGCGGCGUAAGCUGUCGCUAAGGGAUGGCCCCGCGGUGCAUUAGCUAGUUGGUAAGGUAACGGCUUACCAAGGCGACGAUGCAUAGCCGAGUUGAGAGACUGAUCGGCCACAUUGGGACUGAGACACGGCCCAAACUCCUACGGGAGGCAGCAGUAGGGAAUCUUCCACAAUGGACGCAAGUCUGAUGGAGCAACGCCGCGUGAGUGAAGAAGGUUUUCGGAUCGUAAAGCUCUGUUGUUGGUGAAGAAGGAUAGAGGUAGUAACUGGCCUUUAUUUGACGGUAAUCAACCAGAAAGUCACGGCUAACUACGUGCCAGCAGCCGCGGUAAUACGUAGGUGGCAAGCGUUGUCCGGAUUUAUUGGGCGUAAAGCGAGCGCAGGCGGAAAAAUAAGUCUAAUGUGAAAGCCCUCGGCUUAACCGAGGAACUGCAUCGGAAACUGUUUUUCUUGAGUGCAGAAGAGGAGAGUGGGAACUCCAUGUGUAGCGGUGGGAAUGCGUAGAUAUAUGGAAGAACACCAGUGGCGAAGGCGGCUCUCUGGUCUGCAACUGACGCUGAG